CGUUACUGGCGUUCUUCUCUCUCCCCUCUUCUCCUUUCUUCUCAUCUACUUCUUCUCCUCCAAGCUCAUCCAUUAGCCCUCUAUGCUAGCUCCCUCCACCUCCACCCAUUCUUCGUCCGUAACUUCUCUUUCCUCUUUUGCUUCUUCCUCCUCAUCCAUUUCUCCUCCUCAUUCUCUUCUUCCUUCAAGUUUGCCCAUAAGCCAUUCCCCCCUAUGGUGGCUCUCUCCACCUCGACUCAUUCCUUCU
rnacentral:lncRNA from 1 species